rnacentral:rRNA from 1 species
UAUUUGAUAGUACCUUUACUACAUGGAUAACCGUGGUAAUUCUAGAGCUAAUACAUGCGAAAAAUCCCGACUUCUGGAAGGGAUGUAUUUAUUAGAUAAAAAACCAACCGGGGCAACCCGUCUUUAUUUGGUGAUUCAUAAUAACUUCUCGAAUCGUAUGACUUCUACGUUGACGAUGGUUCAUUCAAAUUUCUGCCCUAUCAACUUUCGAUGGUAAUGUAGUGGAUUACCAUGGUUGUAACGGGUAACGGAGAAUUAGGGUUCGGUUCCGGAGAGGGAGCAUGAGAAACGGCUACCACAUCUAAGGAAGGCAGCAGGCGCGCAAAUUACCCAAUCCCGACACGGGGAGGUAGUGACAAGAAAUAACAAUGCAGGGUCCUAAAAGGUCUUGCAAUUGGAAUGAGUACAAUUUAAACCCCUUAACGAGGAACAAUUGGAGGGCAAGUCUGGUGCCAGCAGCCGCGGUAAUUCCAGCUCCAAUAGCGUAUAUUAAUGUUGUUGCAGUUAAAAAGCUCGUAGUUGGAUUUUGGGCUUGUUCAGCCGGUCGCACCGCAAGGUGUGUCGUGGGUGGGGGGGGUUCGCCUCUCUCACUCCUACUGGUUGGGCUUGCCUCUUUUACCUCCUUCUAAAGACCCAGUGUGCUCUUUACCGGGUGUGCUGGGGAUUUAGGACUUUUACUUUGAAAAAAUUAGAGUGUUCAAAGCAGGCUCAUCUUCGCUUGAAUACAUUAGCAUGGAAUAAUGAAAUAGGACUUUGGUUCUAUUUUGUUGGCUUCUAGGACCGAAGUAAUGAUUAAUAGGGAUAGUUGGGGUGGUUAGUAUUUAAUUGUCAGAGGUGAAAUUCUUGGAUUUAUGAAAGACUAACUUCUGCGAAAGCAUUCCACAAGGAUGUUUUCAUUAAUCAAGAACGAAAGUUAGGGGAUCGAAGAUGAUCAGAUACCGUCGUAGUCUUAACCAUAAACUAUGCCGACUAGGGAUCGGUGGAUGUUAUUUUUCAUGACUCCAUCGGCACCUUACUGAGAAAUCAUAAGUCUUUGGGUUCCGGGGGGAGUAUGGUCGCAAGGCUGAAACUUAAAGGAAUUGACGGAAGGGCACCACCAGGAGUGGAGCCUGCGGCUUAAUUUGACUCAACACGGGGAAACUCACCAGGUCCAGACAUGGUAAGGAUUGACAGGUUGAGAGCUCUUUCUUGAUUCUAUGGGUGGUGGUGCAUGGCCGUUCUUAGUUGGUGGAGUGAUCUGUCUGGUUAAUUCCGAUAACGAACGAGACCUUAACCUGCUAAAUAGUAACGCGAACUCAGCCUGUGGGCUCUCGGGUCCAUAGGUGGUUCUGCGGCUAACUUCUUAGAGGGACUGUCGGUGUUUACCGACGGAAGUUUGAGGCAAUAACAGGUCUGUGAUGCCCUUAGAUGUCCUGGGCUGCACGCGCGCUACACUGAUGAAGUCAGCGAGUUUAUAUCUUGUUCGGAAGGACAUUUUUUUGGGUAAUCUUCUGAAACUUCAUCGUGCUGGGCAUAGAUCAUUGCAAUUAUUGAUCUUC